CCCACGGUGCUUGUUUAGUAGCUAGACUACAGGAGCCAGCAACCAGUUUUCCAAAUGCGCCUCCGAAACACCUGGGACACUCGACGCAAACUCGCGGGCCCGGAGGAGCUUUACCGGAGCGGAGCCUCUGAGGGAAGGACCUGGGGAAACGCGAAACAAGUUCCUUCCCCACGGCCCCGGGCUUCUUGGAGGCACAGGCAGGUUUGGAAGACGAGGAUAUAAAGCAGAGGUGACCCUUUAAGUCCCGAAACGACGUCUCUCCGUCCAGAAAUUACCUCCCACCUUAGAGAAGAAGUGGAUUUCCGGUGGAGCAAGUUGAGUGGUGGCAGUGAGACCGUUGAGAUCUACCUAAUAAGAAAGCUUUUCUGAAGCCAACAAUGGUGAAAUGUUCCCAUCACUCAUGAGUACAAUGCAAGACUAUAAAAUUGAUCAGAUGGUUGCAGCAAAAAAAAAAAAGGUGAGUUU